rnacentral:rRNA from 1 species
GAUGAACGCUAGCGGCAGGCCUAACACAUGCAAGUCGAGGGGUAGCAGGAUUAAGCUUGCUUAAUUGCUGACGACCGGCGCACGGGUGCGUAACGCGUAUGCAACCUACCUUAUACUGGGGUAUAGCCCGGAGAAAUUCGGAUUAAUCCCCCAUAGUACUAAUGAAUCGCAUGGUUUAUUAGUUAAAGCAUUGCGGUAUAAGAUGGGCAUGCGUCCUAUUAGCUAGAUGGUGAGGUAACGGCUCACCAUGGCUACGAUAGGUAGGGGGCCUGAGAGGGUAGUCCCCCACACUGGUACUGAGACACGGACCAGACUCCUACGGGAGGCAGCAGUGAGGAAUAUUGGUCAAUGGGCGCAAGCUUGAACCAGCCAUGCCGCGUGCAGGAAGAAUGCCCUAUGGGUUGUAAACUGCUUUUAUUUGGGAAUAAACCUCUUUACGUGUAGAGAGCUGAAGGUACCAAAUGAAUAAGCACCGGCUAACUCCGUGCCAGCAGCCGCGGUAA